rnacentral:lncRNA from 1 species
UUCUGUGUCCUUGAAGAAUGUUAAAAAGUUGCUGCCCCUACUGAGAAAUAAAAGAAUUUUUCUAUCAUGUUUGUAGUGGCUGCGGUUGUUCCUUCACCUUCUAAAUCUGGAGAGUCAAUACUAAUCUGAGCAUAACUAUAGGUAGAGAAACUCGCACCAAAUUCUAGCAACAAGCAUCCCACCAGUCUACAAAGUCUUCGACCAUAAUGGGUUUUGGAGCAAAAGGGAUAAAGAUAUUGUUGCUGUAGAUCCCUGGC